AUUUUAGACUGCAUUAUCCUCAAAGGAAAGUCAAUAGAUGUAAGGAAAAUGUCAGAAGAAAGAUGGAUUUCUACAUUUUUACACCUAUAUAAAUGAAGUUUUCUUGCAGAACAUGCCUCCUCUGGUUUUAUAGGUACUGAAGACUCACUAGCAAAGCUAAUUCAUGGUAAAAAAAAAAAAAAAAAAAAAGACGCACAGUGCUCUGCUAAAAGCCAAGCACUGGAGAGCUCCUGGAACCACUCCAUAUUGACAUCUUCGGCUCUCCAUUGCUGUGAAGCACCGUAUUCAACACCUUUUGGAUUAUAUUUUGGAUGGAAUUAAAUCAACAAGCUGCAGAUCUUGGGGUACAAAUCAGAAACGUCUCCUCCUCUAGGGGCAACUGCGCCGGCCUGCUUCCUCACGGGGUGCUGUCCUUCUGAGCUGAGCUUAGACCAAAAGACAGGAUUCUACCCAAGGGUGUACACAAACAGGAGAAAGAAUUGGGAGUGGAGAUUUCAAAUGCAUUCGGGGUAACAGCUGUCUUUUUAAUUAACGAGAGUCACAGAUACACGAUGCUCACAAAAUAUUGCACCGCACAUUCUGUUCACCCCUGGCGGGCCGGGUGCACCCUUCCAUCUCGCGAUGGAAUAGACAGCAAGCCAGCGCAGCUGCAGAAACAGCGAGAGAGCAGGAGAAUGUGGACUCUCAGGGCACCCCGGGCAGAGGCCGGAGAGGCAGGCCUGGGGCAGGUCUCAGAAAGCUCUACCCUCCGCAGAGCUUGCACUCAUCCUCAGGAAAAUUCAGGGAAGAAGCAGCUACUGAUCUGUGAGCCACAACCUGACUUCACAGGGAAAGCUCUCUGGACACCACAGCCACUCCUGGGUCCCCUGGCAAACUCCGGUCAGGUCAGCAUCUCCACGGCCUGUCCAGCACCUCGGCCAUCUUCACAGCAUCCCAGAGCCUGGGGGUAGAUGAGCUCUCCUGGGAGCGGAGCGAGGGGAUGAAGGGCUAGGGGCGUCUUUGAGACUGAUCCCAGAGGAGCAGCUGCAGCCGCCCGUGCAGCCCCUCCAUCGGCUCUGCCCAUUCCCCGCUGUGUGCCAGCAGCUCUUUAGGGUCCAGGAGCAUCCGCAUCCGUGCUGGAGGAGGGCUCAGGCCACGCCUUUCCUGCCACGCUCACAGUGUUUCACUGGUCCCGGUGCCCACACACCAGCGGCCACAUCUUAGCCCCUGGACUAGCCAUGCCCUUCUAUUUAUGACCAAGGUGAGUCCUGGCCACGGAGAAAAGGAGGCGCGGCCAAAGUCAAGAGGCAGCACCGUAACUGCAGGCACCUGCCCUGCUGAGAAGAGCCCAGGUCUCCUGUGAAGCUUGCACGACGUGGAAUAAAACCUGUUAGCUCACUGGGGACA
ensembl:lncRNA